rnacentral:siRNA from 1 species
UACACUAACUAACGCCGUAGCCUC